UUGCAGUGUGUUGGUGUUUGGAGCUGUUGUCUCUGACUUUAACUUGUUUCCCCGAACCUCUUUCUGAAUGAGGCUCAGUGUGCAUGAGUGCCUAUGUUGCUCCCCGACUUCGUGGCUUCAAACGAGCUCAGAAAGCUGCCUCGUUAUACUUUCCAGACGUGUGUGAUGUAUGGGCAUGUACACUUGCAUGCGUUUAUCAGUCACAGCCUUAACGAGAGGAAAAGCGCAGCGUGGAAUUCCCGUUACGCAUCAAUGUAUCGCGCGUAAACAGUGCACCGCCAAACUGCACUAGGAUUAUUGCGAUUGAUUGAGUCAUGUUCAUUUUUCCAGACUGAAACACAAUAGAAUAAAUCUUUGCUAUAACUCAAAACACCCAGUUUAAUGUGCUCUAAUAAUCGGCUAACAUCUUACACCAAACAUUGUGCUAAAUGUUAUGAAAGUCAGAAUAUUGGAAACCAUGCAACUUGUAGUCUUCUCCUGCUGGAAUACAGUCCAAUCAAAAAGAAAGCUGAAAGUUGAGAUUGUGUAGAUUGAUUCUCUUUACACAACACAUUUCCUACUGAAUUGACACCAUAAAUACUAAUGGGCAUUUCAUUUCUUUCUAUUCCACAUGAGAUUCAUCUUGGUGCAGGAGCCACUGAGAUGAGAUUUUGUAGUGUUUCAAGUUUUAAUGAACGUAAACUAUCGAGGUUUGGUCAAACUGUCCGUACUGUACUUUGAUGGCACUGUGCAGAAAUAGCGCACAGAGUCACUGUUCAGCUGCUGUCUGUCUGCGUUAUAUAACCGAGCCCAAAGCACCACCACUGACUGACAGACACAUCCUGAUCUACUGCUGCUCUGCUCCGGUGCAGCACACAUGGACCCAGAGUACAUAUUUAUCUGGAAUGGUUGUGCAUGUUUGUAUGUGUUGGUGCUUGCGUGUGGACUCCACAAGCUCACAUUUAUGGAGAUAUUUAUUGCAAAAAUGUGAAGUUAUGGUUGAAAACACGUGAUAAUUGGGCCUACAUAUGUUAUAGUAACAUACUAUUUAAUAUUCAUGCAGGGCUUGGUGGUGCAGACAGUAUUGUUGCAUGUAGGGGUUGAACAGCGUGUUGUCAUACUGUGAACUGCUCUUUGGUUAUUUCUUUACAAUUUCUUCAUGGCUCCAUGACGGCCACAUACUGUGAUUUUACCCAAUACAUUUUUAAAGUGACAUGUAAUUUAAUGAACACAUCUAUGAGGAGUUUCUAUCUUAUUUUAAAACAGGCAUAAAGUUAUUCUAAUUUCUUUAAACAUAACCUCAGCAGAUUCUAAAUAAAGGUAAGAAAACACUCCCAAAAUGGUCAGAUUUUAUUACUUAUUAUCAGACAUCAAUAAACAUGAGAUCACAGUCUUCAACGUAUUGAUAUGAAAUUUCAAAUUCAAUCAAUCAAAUUUUGUUUAUAUAGCUCCAAUUCACAACAGUCAUCAUCCCAAGACGCUUUCCAAAGAAAAAGAGCAGGUCUAGACCACGCGCUUUGUUUGAUAAAUUAUCAAGACCCAACCUAAGAUGGGAUUUAGCCCAUCUCAUCUAACAUGAGUAACAGUGGCAAGGAAAAACUUCCUUGUAACAGGCAGAUACCUUGAACAGGACCAGACUCUUGUUAGACAGCCACCAGGCCGCUGCUGGGUUGGGGAGGAACACACAUAGAGAGAGAGAGAGAGAACAAGAUAGAGGGAAGAAGAGGGAGAAAAGGUAAGGGGGAGGGAGGGAGAGAGAGUAGAGAACGGGGGUGAGAGAGAGAGACAGGGGACAGCAGCAACAACAGCAACAGCUCAUGUAAUGGUGAAACAAAAUGAAUUCAGUUUACAGAGUUAGGAUAGGAGUGAUUCUGGACUAUGUUAAAUUAAUUAAAUGUGAUUACAGUCAGCAGGCCUAAUAGUAGUUAACUCUAGUUUUAUGUUAUUAAUGUCAGUGAGGCUGAUGUUCAUGUCUGCAGCAGCAGUCUAGAGGAAAUUUAUUAUCAUCACCAGCAUUUGGUCCUCAAUUUUUGUAACCACCACAGUUUUGUGAUGGUUACAGGCCGACAAUUUGGACAAUAGUUCAACCCGACACAGCAUAAGUAUGUCUCCAGUUCAGCACUCUCCCUUCAAAGUUUAAAUUUGGAUUACUACUGUGCUUGUCAAUGUCUCUUCUUGAUCACCGACCAAUCAGAAUCAAGAUGGGGUGGGAUUUCUGUUUUUUUUUUUUUUUGUUUGUUUGUUUGUUUUUGGUCAACAAAAAUAGCUGAGGUCGAAAUGGAAGAGAAACAGAUCAUCUUUGAAGAGGUGUAGUGUCCAGGUCUAGAGCUGUUAUGACAUGACUUCUGUGAAGUGUUUUUAGGUUUUCUUUUAAAAAUGAUUUGAAGGAUUUUAAAACAGACUCUGUGGUCAUUAUCAAGGGGAGUGGAAGUGCUGCUGGAUAACUUUGUAACCUGUGUCAAUUAUAAAAGGUGCUAAAAAAAGUGCUCUGAAACAUGUUUUGCACCCAGUGAUUGUGAAAACAGUCAAAUUGAAAGAUCUUUGCAGCAGCAGCAUCAUGCUUACUUCCCCAUCUGGAUUACAGAACACUUUACAGUCAGGUGACACAUUAAAGAAAAGUGAGAACACACUUGAUAUAGAACUAAUUCACAAAUUUUAACAGUUGUAUUUAUGUUUAUCAUAAGAAAGGUCCUGCAAAGUUUUUUCUAUUUGUGGGGAUUUUGGUGCCCCCUGUAGUCCAAGUGGUAGCUGUUAUCUCUUUGCUGUUUUUGUAUGUUAUUCAUGUUAUACAUGACUAAAAAAAAAAAGACAGAAAAACUCACUCUGCUUUCUUUAUGAGUCCAAUAAAUGUUUUCUAGGUGUUGGUGCAUCAGAGUUAAUCAUUUUAUAAUGUUAUGUUUUUAUGUUUAUAUCAUUUUCGUACACUUUGUUUUAACCAGCUUAAAAUAACAAGCGAAGGCCUUCAUUUUCAUCGACGCAUUUAUACAUUGUGGUUUUCUCCACUAUAUUAUAUUCAGAUCUCUUUUCAACAGCUGUGCUAAUGAAGAUUUAAUUGUGCUUGAGGUACUUUAAAGUGAGCUUUUGUUCUUAAGCAGUAGAAGGAUUAUCUCAAGUAUCUGAAAUUAUGUAAUUUUACAUAAACUGUUCUAAAAAAUCUGUAUUAGAUUUACGUAAAGCUAUCUCUGUGAAGGUGCUGCAGCAGUCAGUCCCCUUGUCUGGCCCACGCUGGCCUGCUUCGGCCUAUCCUGAAUGAAUGAGCCACAGUCAAAUGGCCUUGAGGCCUGAUGGAACUUUUUCGACAGGAUUACACAAUCAACCAGGCUUCUAAUUUAGCAGCUAAUCCAGAUUAAGGUGCUGUGGUUUGUCUGUGUUCCCAGCCUGGGUCUCAGACUCUGCUGCUGGGCAGAAUCUGCAGCAAUACAGCAAGUAUUCAGUUUCUGUCUGAACACAGGGACGAUGCUCCUGAAUAAUUUACAAACUGAACAUCAGGCUCUGUUGAAGGAAGCUUGUAACUAGAGAUUUAGACCAAAUUCGUUUAAAAAAGAGUAAUGAAUCAAGGAGGGAGCAGGCUAAUGGUGAGCAGAAUUCCUCAGCUACUACUUGAGUUGCCCCUGCUGGUUGUUAGAAAUAAUGCAGGUUUACUGAGUGCUCAUAUUGAUUUAGACCAUAGCUAUUUCGCCUUUUUUUCUGAGUAUGUGAGUGCACCUGUGGAUACAGAAGGCUGUCUCUAUGAGAAGAGGAGGGGGCAGCUUGGAGAGUCCACUCACAGAAACAUGUCUGCUCUAACUUUGCACAAACAGUAAUAGCACUCUGAAAAGUUUCUUGUCUACAGUGUUGGGCAGUAACUCUGCUACAUGAGAGCUCCCUGCCCUUCCUGGGGGUUAGAGGGAUGCUAAAGCGUGCAUCAGGGAGAGAGACAGACUGAUUCACUGAGUAGAUUAAUGGCAUUUUGACAUAACCGGUAUCAUGGCAGCAUCGGCCUCAUUAGGCCAAUCGCCAAUCCUUUUCCAAUUAAAAACACAUUUCCUAUCACCCAUUGAAAGCAUAUCAAAUCCAAAGCAGACAUCGACUGCUGUUCAAAUUGUAUUGUUGAAUGAAUUUCUGCUGCAGGAAAAGUAAAAACGGCUGAUUUUUAUUGUACAUAUUUUCCCACAGAAGUUAAAAGAGUUUAAAAUUACAACAUAGAUAUUAUGAAUAUUGUCAGUGAUGGUCUUGUUUACUUUAUCACAUCAUAGAGAUGUUUAAUGUUCAUCUCAGUGUAUCUGUAGUCUCCUCACAGUAACAAUUACAUGCAAGAAAAAUUAUGAGCUAAGCUAUCAGCUGAUAAAGGCUGGAGUGAGGAUCACGUUACGGCCAUUUUUUUCACAUCAAAGUUGAAUCACUCUGGUAAAGUCAUAAAUCAAACAGCCAAAGAGUGGCAGAUCAUACGGACAUCAAUCUCAAAGAUUAUCAUUCACCGUUAUCUAAUGAUGAGUCCAUUAAGGCAGGGACUCCUUUUUCUGAGAUAAGUUUACAUCCGAAACAGAAACUUGUGAUUUACUUCAAAUUUGAGGGUCUGGAGUUUGCUGAAAUUAUUUGAUCACAAAAUUGAAAACUUCAUCCGUAAGAGGAGGUAAAAAAAUCUAACCACUGAUAGAGCAAUGAGCAGAUUUGUGUCGCAAGUUGUAAUUUCUGAUUUAAAAAGACUUGUUAGCUGUUCAUGCAUGAAGAUAUCUGUUUAUAAAGACUAUCAUUGACAUUGAAUGUGUAUAUAUAAGGCUUAUAUGUUAAAGAAAAUUGAUUUGAUGUACACUACUAUAGCCUAGCUUGCUUCACUUCUCUUCAUUAUAGUCAAGCUUGAUUCAAUGUAGAGUGACUCAGCUCACUAUAUUUUACGAAAAGCUUGCUCAGUGCUGCUUACCAAUGGUUUACCAACUUUGAUCAGAUUUAAGUGUAGUGGAGUUUCUUGGUUUUAGACACUAGCAUUGCUGUUUUUGUGAUCUUCUCCUCUUAAUGCGUUCAGCAUGGAGAAUCUGACAGAGACUGAGAGAGAGAGAGAAAGAAAGAGAGGGACUGAGGGAGAGGAGCUCUGUGAACUAUAAAUAGACAGAGGGAGAGUGGUUGUGAUGAUAGCAUCACCACACAAUAAUCCCUCAGUAGGAGUGGAGUUGCUUCACUGCACUACAGCGGUCCUGACAGUGAACAGGUACCCCCUCCACUGUCUCCUGUCAGCAGGGUUAUCUGGUGAACCUGACCCCCUGACCCUCUGCUUAGCCCUGGCCUGUGUGUGUCCAUACUGUAUUAAGCUUGUUAACAUGGAUCUGUGGGUAGAGGAGCAGGUUUCACUCCUACCUGUGAGGUCUAAAUGAAGAAUAAUCCUUUUACAUUUGUAGUGUGCCACAGCUUAUAGGCCAGUUACACAUCACAUCAUGUUCAUUCUCAUUCUGGACAUACAACUGGAAGCAGCAAGAGAAGGCAGGCUAUAAAUCAACUACAAACAUCAAUAUUAUUAUCCACUAGAAAUAUGACUUUUUCCACACCAGACGCUGCCUUUUCUGCAACAAUUUACUGUUGAAAAUAUGCCUCUUUAAUUUUUCUCCUCAAAAAAAUUCUUAUAACAUCCAGGACUGGCCUCUGCAGUUCUACAGCAGAUGCAUUUGCCAAUAAAGCUACUUUUAAUUUUAUUUUAGUUCACAUUGAUGUAAAACCCAAACUCCAACCAGAACCGUAUGUUUUCAUCUUAUUUGAAACAGUGCAAUGACAGCAUAUCAAAAGAUUUAAACAGAGUAUCUGCUCAUGUUUAGUUUGAUCUGCUAUAUGUAGGGACAAGUGCAUGUUUACGGUUUGGUUGCAUCACCUCUUCUCUUAACAUUUGGUGAAAUUUGAGGAAAAUUAGAAGUUUGUGGAGUUUUGAACUGAGUUUUGGACUCUAGCUGCUCAACAUUGUAGGGUCUCUUUUAUUGUACUUUUUGUUUUAUAAUGCACCAAAUGUGUCCAGUGAAUGACAAGCCAGGACAGCAGGCAGGUCAGUAAAGGACUCAGACCUGAACUCCUCCACUACUGAGCCAUGCUGUCAUAGUAUGUGCAAAAUGUGGUUUGGAAAUGUCUAGCUGAAAUAUGAACGGUGUUCCUUGAAGAUGGUGCCUUCAGAAAUGUGUAAGCCACCCAUGCCUUGGGCACUUCUACAUCCCCAUAUCAUCACAGAUUUUAGAUUUGAAACCAUAGGCUGAUAACAAGUUAGUUGUUGCACCUCCUCUAUAAAGCCCAUGAAUGUCAAAUUUUGCUUCAUCAGACCUCAUGACAGUUUUCCACUUGACCUCAGGCCAUCUGAAACAGUCCUCUAGAGUUGAUGUGUGUUAAAGUUUGAAUUCCUCUUUGAAAACCACAGUUUGAAAUUGCAUUAAUGGAUGAAGCGAUAAACUGUGUUCCAGGAUAAUGGUUUUUGAGGUGUUUUUGAGCUCCACUGCAGUGACCUCCACUGCAGAGUCAUGUCUGUUGUUGACACGUGACCUGAAGAUCACAGCCAUUCAGUACUGGUUUUGUCCUUGUCUCUUUUGAAGGUAGAUCUCAAUGAUUCUUGAAGUCUUUAAAUGGUAUUUUGCAUUUGAGAUCAUCCUCAAACUCUUUACAUAUGAUAAAUUUUAUUCUGAAAUUGUUGAACUGUUCGCUCACACAGUCUCUCACAGAGUGGUGAACUUCUCAUCUUCACUGCCGAGAGAUUCAUAUAAACUGAAUCAGUUGAGAGAUAAUCCUUCAGGUGAUUUGGUUCGGUGUUACACAACUUCGUAUAACUCCUCAAGCAUUUUGUUGCCCCUUUCUAAACCUUUUUAAAAGACUACAGACAUAAAAUUUUGAAACAAGCAGACAUUUUUUUAAUAUUUACAAUGAAAGUUUUUAGUUAAACAUUUGAUAAGCUGUCUCCAACCUUGUAAUGGGUUUGAAUGAUGCAAACCAACAAACUCUGUUUUUACCAACAUUUAAGUGUCUUAACCUUUCUGGAACUGGGGUUGAAGUCUGACUAAUAAACAAAACGGAGACAAAUUAUGUGGAAGAUGUAGUAUAUUUGCUUGUUUCCAGCCUGUAAACAUGUUUAAUUCAGCUGUAUUGUGGAGCAUUUAAAUAUAAGGAUCUACAGGAACUUACUCACUUUUGGCACCAGCCUCUAGUGGCCAUUCAAGGUACUGCUCUUUGUGACGCUUCCUAAUUUUUCUUUUGCCCUUUGCUCAAAAACCAAACGUUUUUAAGCACUGCCUGACCUAAUAGACCAACCACAUGUCUCUGCUACUUCUAAAUCCAUCAAGAGUAUUAACCUUAAUAUGAAGCGUUCAACUCUGAGGUAUCUAGUCACUCAAGUGUGCAGAUCAGAUUUUAUAAUGACUGACUGUAACAUUUGCUCUUAAUUAGUAAUAAUGAAUUUUAGAUGAAACAAUGGUUCACGGAUGAGACAUCCAAGUUUAGUGUGGCUCAUUAAUCCCUUAAAAAACUUGCCAUUUAUGAGUGUGAGUGUGUGUGAGUGUGUCUCUGUUUUCUGAGCCCUUACUCUGAACAGUGUUCACCAUCGCCCCACCCCUUCAGGCACUGACCUCCUUUUCAUCGUUCACACAUGCGGCACCUUUUUCUCGUCUCUUUCCUUCCCUGUCUCUCCAACAUGCUGAUUGGAUUCAUAUGCAUUUCACCUUAUCAAGCUCAACUUAAAAGAUCAAGUAAAUUAAGUUAGAAACAGCGUGAUAAAAAGCUGUGGGUGAUAAAACAGAAUUGCACAUGCUAAUGUUGAAUCCGUCACUUUAUGGACUGUUAUCUUUGUUAACAGUGCUGCUCUAUAACUAUGACAAAUGUGCCUUUUAAUCCUCUGGGGUUUUGUCACAUUUAAGGGAACAAAGUCGAGCAAACUGGAACAAACUUUUUUUAAUACCAGCCUCUGCCACAGCAAAGAAACUUUAAAUUUGGCACAAUGCAGGGAAAAAUUAUAAUAUCAAGUAUACAAGCCAAAGCAUCAAGGUUUUUUUUUUUUUCACAGGAGCUGAGAGAGGGUAGGUGUUAGCCAAGCAGCUGAGGAUAAAGAGUUUUUCCUAUGGACAGGGGCGCCAAAAUUGAGAAAAUCAUUACUAAUAUAAAGGUGAUUUAAUUGUCAAUCUUGGAAAAUAAUGUUUGGUAAAAUAUUUAUCACAUUUCAAUGAUUUAUAUAACUUCCUCUACUUGGCUGUAUUGUAUUUCUUCCUUUUGUAUAAAUUCAACACAGGCUUGUGCACAACAGCCUCUAAGCUGGUUUGUUCAACUGGCUUUUACAGUGAAAUUUGUAGUUAGAAUUAUUUAUACCGUCAUCGAAAUGUAACUUCCAUCAUGUAUGAAUGAAGUGCUGCCGUGGGAGGAAAGCUUUUAGCUCAAAGAAACAGGCGUCGUAUUAUAAUCAUGAUUAAUUGUAACGUUACACACGUUGUUUCCUGCUGUCAUAAUGUUUAUGAUGUUUAUCACAGAGCACUUAAGCCUCUGAUGACUGUGUAAGUAUUGUGCUGUGUCUGUGAUGCAGAGCAGAGGAGGCUUAUCGAGUAUAGAUCUGAGGCUCAUGUAGUGCACAUACAGAAUACACACACACACACACACACACACAUGUACAAGUGGGAGGAUCGAAUGUCAGAAGAGCAGCGUUUGCAGCAGAGGAGAACCAAAUGAACAAAGUUUUAAUAAUAUAUGAACCUGCAUUCAGAUAGAUAGAUAGAUAGAUAGAUACAGUAGAUAGAUAGAUAGAUAGAUAGAUAGGUAGAUAGAUAGAUAGAUAGAUAGAUAGAUGGAUAGAUGGACAGAUAGUUGAAUAGAUAGAUAGAUAGAUAGAUAGAUAGAUAGAUAGAUAGAUAGAUAGAUAGAUAGAUAGAUAGAUAGAUAGAUAGAUAGAUAGAUAGAUAGAUAAAGACAGGAAUGACAGACAUUUAUUCACAAAUCCGCUUAAAGUUAGUCUUUUCUUUGUAAAAGUUCAAGUUUAGUUUCAUUUCUGUUAAAUUGAAAUGGUUUGGACUUUUCUUGAUAUGUUGUUAGUUUUUGUUAAAGCUCCUGUGAGGAUUGUUUUUAAUAGUAACAGUAGUAUCACAUUUUUAACAGCAAAUAUUCCCAGUAAGUGCUUAAGAAGCAGGAUGAGGUUACUUUGUGAGAACAUGCACUUCACCAUACACAUUAAAAGACGAUAAACUAAAAGGUGUCCACAGGGGGCGCCAAAAUCAGCACUUAUCCAAAGUUUAUCACAGCAGCUCUGAAGAGGAGAAGCUCAGCCAUAGUGAGAUGGUUGGUGGGGGGAUGAAACAUCCUCUGAGGAUAAAAUGAAGCCCUGCACACACACACGUACACACAUACACAUGCACGCUAUCAUGUUUCCUCCCUUAGCGCAGUGACUCACAGCUCCACUACCUGUAUAGUAGUCCCUGUUACAUCAUGUCCUCUGCUGGAAUACCCCCUCCCACACGCUCUUCCUCCCGCUCUGUGAGUGUUCAGUUCACAGCCAGAAUAUGUAAUUAGAAACUUAGCGUUAGGUUUUAGUCAUACAAAGCAGGAUAAUUAUGAAAUAAAACCUCAGAAUCACUCACAGCUUGUUUCCAUUUAGAAAUAAGAGUGAUAAUGAUCAUUUCUCUCCAUUAGCAGAGAUUUAACAAUGAUAUUCUCCCUUGUGGUGCAAUUUUCAUACUGUCA